rnacentral:rRNA from 2 species
GUGACUGCGUACCUUUUGUAUAAUGGGUCAGCGACUUAUAUUCUGUAGCAAGGUUAACCGUAUAGGGGAGCCGCAGGGAAACCGAGUCUUAACCGGGCGUUAAGUUGCAGGGUAUAGACCCGAAACCCGGUGAUCUAGCCAUGGGCAGGUUGAAGGUUGGGUAACACUAACUGGAGGACCGAACCGACUAAUGUUGAAAAAUUAGCGGAUGACCUGUGGCUGGGGGUGAAAGGCCAAUCAAACCGGGAGAUAGCUGGUUCUCCCCGAAAGCUAUUUAGGUAGCGCCUCGUGAAUUCAUCUCCGGGGGUAGAGCACUGUUUCGGCUAGGGGGCCAUCCCGGCUUACCAACCCGAUGCAAACUGCGAAUACCGGAGAAUGUUAUCACGGGAGACACACGGCGGGUGCUAACGUCCGUCGUGAAGAGGGAAACAACCCAGACCGCCAGCUAAGGUCCCAAAGUCAUGGUUAAGUGGGAAACGAUGUGGGAAGGCCCAGACAGCCAGGAUGUUGGCUUAGAAGCAGCCAUCAUUUAAAGAAAGCGUAAUAGCUCACUGGUCGAGUCGGCCUGCGCGGAAGAUGUAACGGGGCUAAACCAUGCACCGAAGCUGCGGCAGCGA